rnacentral:rRNA from 1 species
AUGAGAGUAAUGCAAAAGAUGGAACAAGACAGCAUUGAUGCAUACAAAUGGUGUGAGAGAUGGCCACCAAGAACCUGGAUUAAAGCAUUUUUCAAUCCAUUUCCAAAGUGUGACAUUCUACUGAAUAACAUGUCUGAAGUAUUCAAUAGCUGGAUCUUGGAAUCUAGAGAGCUACCAAUUAAGUCCAUGUUGGACAGCAUCACUGACAAGAUCACAACCAGGAUGUACAACAAGCAGAAGGAGGUGGCCACUGAUAGAAAAUGGGGUAAAAGAUUGUGCCCAAAAAUACAGAAGAAGCUUGACAAAUUUACUGAAUGGGCUGCUUUCUGCAUGGUUCAAGCGGCUGGUCAGAAAGUUUUCAAGGUGUCAUCAAUGAACCAUUCAUAUAUUGUUGAUUUGAACUGUGAGAGUUGUGACUGCAAAAGAUGGGAGCUGUCUGGGAUUCCAUGUCAUCAUGCCAUAGCUUGUGCUAGAGAGGAGAGGAUAGAUCCCGAGAGCCUGGUGCACGAAUGCUACUCAGUAGCUACUUACAAAAAAGCUUAUAGUUUCAAUAUCAAGCCCAUGAGGGACCAAGAGCAUUGGACAAAGAUGGAAGGAGUGGACGUGUACCCACCUGUGUACACCAAGGUGAUGGGUAGACCAAGGAGAAAUAGAAAAAAAGAUCCAGAAGAGAAGCUUGACAAGGAAGGGGGCAAGAAACUGACUAAACAUGGUGUAACCAUGCACUGUUCUGUUUGUGGAGCAGCAAAUCACAAUAAGAAAGGUCAUAAAAAGUGGGCAGAAACAAAUAGAGAGGCCCCAGUAGUUACAGAUGAUGAUUCAGAAGAGGAGUUUGAUGAUCCAUCCAUAAUUUCAAACAUCAUGCCACACACAGUUCAUCCAUCUAUGGAUCCAUCUCAAACACCAGGAUCAAUGGUUUACCUCAUGCAGCAAAUGGAGAGGAUGUCAUAUCAACCAGUCAUGGACCAUGGUCCUCUUCCUGAAUCUUCAUUUGUUACACAAGCCAGAGCUAGCAUUCCUCCACCAAGAGUGACAACUGCUAUGGCAAGUGGAAGAGGUAGGAGGAGGGGUGUUACUGAAGAUAUUCCGAAGGAUGUGCCUCAAUCCAGCCACCAAACAAGUGAUAAUACAGGAGGCAGGAAGAGGCAAGCUAGAGGAGGUGGUAGAGGAAAUGCUACAGGAGGUGGGAGGAGAAAUGCUACAAGAGGUGGAAGGGGAAAUGCUACAAGAGGAAAUGGAAGGACAAGAGGAGGAGGUGCAACAGGAGGAACUGGAAGAGGAAAUGGUGGAAGAGGAACUCUAUAUGACAAUGGAGGAAGGACUGGACCAGGGGAUGGAUUUUGGAACUUGAUGUUUGGACCUGAUUCAGAUAGGUCACAUGUGGCAGCAGAGGAAGAGCCAAUCACGCAAAAUGCACCAGGAGGGGAUGAGUGGGAUGAUGACUUCAUGCACAUGUAG